GGGAAAGGAAACACAGAUUUGAAAUAGAGCAAGAGGAAGGGAGACAGCAAAGCUAGGAAACAUCUAAAAGUUUGCACCAUAAAGAGAGGAAAACUGGCUUGUCUUUAGUGACUUUAGGGCAACCAUGUUGAUGAAUGGAAUUGGCCUUAGGAUGAAGAUGACCUAGGAGCCAUUUUCGGCUUCUCUGGCUCACAGUGAGUGUGGCAGAGCAUCUCAUGGAGCUGUGCACUGUGCGGAGACCAGAUGAACCCAGGAAGAGGGUGGUGAGUCAGGAUCGUGGAGUUCCUGGUUCACACAGACAGCUGCACAGCCUGGAGGGUGUAGGAAGCCAAGAAAGCCCCGUCUGGAGUCAAUGAAUGACGUGACAGCAAAACUCACACAAAGAAGGAGGUGUUGCUUCUGUGGCUAGGACUUACGACCUUCUCUGUGUAAAAAUAGUUAUGGGUUCCUCCAUUUGUUUGUUGUUUAACUGAGUGCUCAGCUAAUGAUAAAAAUAAGAUUGAUACUUUUAGAGCAAUGGGAGGUCCUAGACCAGGGGAUUUUAACCAUUUGUUUGCCAAGAAUUCUUUUGAGAAGUUGAAGAAAGGAGCUAUGAAUAAUUUAUGAAGAUGUGUCCUAUGCCUGGGAAAAACCUCUAUCAGGUUAAAAGGUUCUGGAGCCUUCUUUCUCUCCUAUGGUUCCAUGAUUCGUGUCUGCAAUUCAUUAUUUCUGUGUUGUGCUUUUUCAAAAUCAGGGCAGUCAUUGGUGUGGUUCUUGAACAACUUCUUAAAACUCUAAACAUUCAUGUAAGGUCUCCAGAUGCAUUUUGGCAGAAAUAUCAAUGGCCAAGAAUCAAGCCAAACUUCCUGGAAGUUUUAGCAAAUUUUUUUUUGCAUAAAUAAACAAAACAUCUUGAAUAACAUAGUUUAUAAGUUCCAAAAUACACAUUUUCCUAAUAAAAUGAAGACUGCACAAAUAAGGUUUUAAUAUAUACUAGAAUUAAGUCAACUCUUUCCAUGUUAAACCUGGGCCCUCCUAAGUCACCAGUUGUCAGUAAAAUAAUCACACAGAUUCUUAAUUAUAUGGCCAGUAUCGAAAGCUCAUAGGACUAUUCUAAUGUAUUUGAAUCAAUAUGUAUUACUUGCUUUACUAAACCUAGACCAACAGAAAGACAUUUAUGAAGGAUUCCAUGUUAUAUGAAAUUCUCCUAUGCAAUCAUGCAUUCACUUAUUACUAUAUUUUCCUAAAAAAGAAAAGAAAGCAGGCCACAAAAUUCAUUAAAAUGAUUAACAUUUCUCAGAAUUCAGCCAAGGGUGAUAUAAAUAAGGAAGGAAUAAUUUUCAAACCUUGGCCUUUAACCUCAAAAUAGAUUGGGAGAUCUAUAAAAUCUGAAGCCUAUGUAUGAUUCUGAUUAUUCCUUUUUUCUAGAGUAGACAUUUUAAAGUAUUAGCUUUUAAAUCAUCCAUUCCACUUUUUAAAAACUCAGUUUAGCAUGUCCUUAUAAAGCAAAGGAAAUAUUUCAGAAUAUUUUAGCCUGCUUUCAACAAGAUCUGAUUUAGAUAGGUACUCUAAGAGCAGGAGAGGAAGAAAAAAAAGAAAAGCAUUCUAAGAUAUAUAACUGACUUCUCCCACAACUUUAAAUAUGGAGAAAAUUGAACAUCUCCUCCAAUUUUCUAUCUCCGUGUCUCUUCCGUGCUGCACUGAAGGCUUUAUAAACACAAGGCUGGAGUGUGGUCAGCCAAGGUUUCAAAUGGCAGGGUAUUUCUUACUCUGUUUUUUGUUGGGACUUUGAGCUUAUCUCUAUUGCUUAUCCCAAAUCAAGCUCCUGUUGCCCCAACAGCUACUCCACUUUGGGAACUGAGGAUAGCAAUAACACUCUGUUGACCGGAGAGAGACCAGGACCAGAGGGGUGGUGGCGUGGGAAUGGGAGAGAGGCUAAAAUGCAGAAAGCAGGCCGAAUGACAGAGGAUGGGGGGAGGCAACAGACAUCCUGUCCCAGAGAACUUUGGGGACUGCCCUAUGAACUCAGGGUUCAGUGGGAAACUGUAUAUUUAGCCACUGUUCCCACAUAAGGGUGUAAAAAUUGAAUCAUAAUAAAUGGCUACUUCUUAAUAAAGCUAUUUUAUUAAAAUGUCUUACAUAGUAAUACCUCCUUAAUCAUUUAAAUUGCCCAGAACUAGAGGUGCAGACACGCAGGUUUGGAAAACUUAACUCUAGCUAUCAGAUGGAAACAAGAAGAUAUAUUCUGCCAUCUGUAAUUCGUAGGGGAAAACGAGCUGAUCCAAAGAAAAACCUAUCUACACAACUUGACUGGAAUCUAAGAAGUAAGCCUGUGAUGUUUAUCUAGUCAUGGCCCUAACAUUUCACAAUUACAUAGUGAACAUGGUGAUAUGUCCUUAGGAUAUUCUUAACUCUCUCUUCCUCCAUCUCCACAUCCACUUGGUCACCAAGAUUUAUCCAGCUGAAAUGACUCUUGAGUAAUGCCCCUCUUCCACCAUCCAAGUCGCUGCUUUACCUCUUCCAGAUGGUCUACACAAGGCUACCCAGGGCAGCAUUCCAACAAGCACGUGGCGAAUCCACUCUCUUUUGCACACAGGACAAAGCCCAGCUCCUUGGCACGGUCUGCAGGGCCCUGUGCAGUCGGG